GUUUUCUUAGUAUAUAAGUACAUUUGGCUUCCAACCAAAAAGUCUAAAAUUUAGAGAAAAUA
rnacentral:tRNA from 1 species